ACUCAAAGGAAUUGACGGGGACCCGCACAAGCAGCGGAGCAUGUGGUUUAAUUCGAAGCAACGCGAAGAACCUUACCAAGACUUGACAUCGCAUGACCGCCGUAGAGAUACGGCUUCCGUAGCAAUACGGCAUGUAGACAGGUGGUGCAUGGUUGUCGUCAGCUCGUGUCGUGAGAUGUUCGGUUAAGUCCGGCAACGAGCGCAACCCUUAUGAUAUGUUGCCAAUAUUAAGUUAGGAACUCAUAUCAGACUGCCGUGGACAACACGGAGGAAGGCGGGGACGACGUCAAAUCAUCAUGCCCCUUACGUCUUGGGCUACACACGCGCUACAAUGGCUACUACAAAGAGCAGCGAGCAGGCAACUGUAAGCGAAUCUCAUAAAAGUAGUCUCAGUUCAGAUUGUGGGCUGCAACCCGCCCACAUGAAGUAGGAGUUGCUAGUAAUCCCGAAUCAGAAUGUCGGGGUGAAUGCGUUCCCGGGUCUUGUACACACCGCCCGU
rnacentral:rRNA from 1 species